UAGUCCACGCUGUAAACGAUGAGGACUAGUUGUCUGCAGGCAUGCCUGUAGGUGACGCAGCUAACGCAUUAAGCUCUCCGCCUGGGGAGUACGGUCGCAAGAUUAAAACUCAAAGAAAUUGACGGGGGCCCGCACAAGCGGUGGAGCAUGUGGUUUAAUUCGAAGAUACGCGAAGAACCUUACCUAGCCUUGACAUAUAUUAGAACACUUUAGAGAUAGAGUGGUGCCUUCGGGAGCUUUUAUACAGGUGCUGCACGGCUGUCGUCAGCUCGUGUCGUGAGAUGUUGGGUUAAGUCCCGCAACGAGCGCAACCCUCGCCAUUAGUUGCCAUCAUUUAGUUGGGAACUCUAAUGGGACUGCCGGUGAUAAGCCGGAGGAAGGUGGGGAUGACGUCAAGUCAUCAUGGCCCUUACGGGCUGGGCUACACACGUGCUACAAUGGCGGUGACAGUGGGCAGCGACCUCGCGAGGGGAGGCUAAUCUCCAAAAACCGUCUCAGUUCGG
rnacentral:rRNA from 1 species